GGGGGCGUAAUGGUUUCGACAGGGGUGCGUGUAUCACAAAUAGCGAGUCGGCGUUCCAGAAGGCCGUAAAACUGUGGGACUUUAAAUUAAACGCAAAAGAAAACUUUGCAUUAGCUGCAUAAGCUACGUCUUACCUCUCUUCGCCCGUGAGCGGGGAUAAGACGUCAAACAACGGGCUCGUUAUGACGAAUUGCUCACUUCGUUGUAAUUAAAUCAACGAGCUGGAUUGGUGUAGGUUGUUGCUGUUCGAAAGCCAAUCGAGAUUUAAAACAGUAACUGCACUCGGAGAAGUUUGUGGGGCAACGCUUUUGGACAGGGGUUCGAUUCCCCUCGCCUCCACCA
rnacentral:tmRNA from 2 species